AACGCGAAGAACCUUACCUGGGCUCGAAAUGCUGUGGACCAGCUUAUGAAAGUAGGCCUUCCCGCAAGGGACCGCAGUAUAGGUGCUGCAUGGCUGUCGUCAGCUCGUGUCGUGAGAUGUUGGGUUAAGUCCCGCAACGAGCGCAACCCUUGUCCUGUGUUGCCAUACCUUAAAAAGUGGAACUCGCAGGAGACCGCCAGGGAUAACCUGGAGGAAGGUGGGGAUGACGUCAAGUCCUCAUGGCCUUUAUGUCCAGGGCUACACACGUGCUACAAUGGACGGUACAAAGGGCUGCCAACCCGCGAGGGGGAGCCAAUCCCAAAAAACCGUUCUCAGUUCGGAUUGCAGGCUGCAACUCGCCUGCAUGAAGCUGGAAUCGCUAGUAAUGGCGGAUCAGAACGCCGCCGUGAAUACGUUCCCGGGCCUUGUA
rnacentral:rRNA from 1 species